AUCGCUUCUUGGCCUUUUGACUAAGAUCAAGUGUAGUAUCUGUACUUAUCAGUUUAAUAUCUGAUAUGUUGUCUAUCCGACGACAAUAUAUUAAAUGGAUUUUUGGCACUGAAAUAGGAGCUUGCUCUGUCCAUUCCACACAUUGACCUGGUAUUGCAGUACCUCCAGGAAUGGUGCACAAAAA